rnacentral:tRNA from 1 species
GCCGAGGUAGCUCAGUUGGUAGAGCAAUGCACUCGUAACGCAUAGGUCGCCGGUUCAAAUCCGGCCCUCGGCUCCA